GACGAACGCUGGCGGCGUGCUUAACACAUGCAAGUCGAACGAAGUGGCGAACGGGUGAGUAACGCGUAAUCCACCUGCCCUUCAGAGGGGGACAACAGUUGGAAACGACUGCUAAUACCGCCUACUGAAGGUGGGGAUUGCGUCUGAUUAGCUAGUUGGAGGGGUAACGGCCCACUAAGGCGAUGAUCAGGAGCCGGGCUGGGAGGAAGAACGGCCAAAAUUGGACUGAGACACGGCCCAGACUCCGACGGGAGGCAGCAGUGGGGAAUCUUCCGCAAUGGACGAAAGUCUGACGAAGCAACGCCGCGUGGGUGAUGACGGCCUUCGGGUUGUAAAGCUCUGUUAAUCGGGACGCGGUACCGGAAUAGAAAGCCACGGCUAACUACGUGCCAGCAGCCGCGGUAAUUC
rnacentral:rRNA from 1 species